UUGAACGCUGGCGGCAUGCCUAACACAUGCAAGUCGAACGGCAGCGCGUUUGGGGUAACUCAAAUGGCGGCGAGUGGCGGACGGGUGAGUAAUAUGUAGGAAUCUGCCUAGAGGUAGGGGAUAACUUAGGGGAAACUUAAGCUAAUACCAUAUAAGCCCUACGGGGGAACGCAGGGGAUCGAAAGACCUUGUGCCUUAUGAUGAGCCUACAUCGGAUUAGCUUGUUGGCGGGGUAAAGGCCCACCAAGGCGACGAUCCGUAGCUUGGUCUGAGAGGAUGAUCAGCCACACUGGGACUGAGACACGGCCCAGACUCCUACGGGAGGCAGCAGUGGGGAAUAUUGGACAAUGGGGGAAACCCUGAUCCAGCAAUGCCGCGUGUGUGAAGAAGGCCUUCGGGUUGUAAAGCACUUUCAGUGGGGAGGAAGUUGUGAGUGAUAAUACCAUUUGCAAUUGACGUUACCCACAGAAGAAGCACCGGCUAACUCUGUGCCAGCAGCCGCGGUAAUACAGAGGGUGCGAGCGUUAAUCGGAAUUACUGGGCGUAAAGGGUGUGUAGGUGGUUAGGUAAGUUAGAUGUGAAAUCCCCGGGCUCAACCUGGGAACUGCGUUUAAAACUGCUUAGCUAGAGUAUUGCAGAGGAUAGUGGAAUUUCCAGUGUAGCGGUGAAAUGCGUAGAUAUUGGAAGGAACACCAGUGGCGAAGGCGACUGUCUGGGCAAAUACUGACACUGAGACACGAAAGCAUGGGGAGCAAACAGGAUUAGAUACCCUGGUAGUCCAUGCUGUAAACUAUGAGAACUUGCUGUUGGAUGCAUAAAGGCAUUUAGUAGCGAAGCUAACGCGUUAAGUUCUCCGCCUGGGGAGUACGGUCGCAAGACUAAAACUCAAAGGAAUUGACGGGGGCCCGCACAAGCGGUGGAGCAUGUGGUUUAAUUCGAUGCAACGCGAAGAACCUUACCUACUCUUGAAUCCACGGAAUUUUGCAGAGAUGCAUUAGUGCCUUCGGGAACCGUGAGACAGGUGCUGCAUGGCUGUCGUCAGCUCGUGUCGUGAGAUGUUGGGUUAAGUCCCGUAACGAGCGCAACCCUUGUCCUUAGUUACUAACGAGUCAUGUCGAGGACUCUAAGGAGACUGCCGAUGAUAAAUCGGAGGAAGGUGGGGAUGAUGUCAAGUCAUCAUGGCCCUUACGAGUAGGGCUACACACGUGCUACAAUGGUUGGUACAAAAGGCCGCGAAAGUCGCGAGACGGAGCUAAUUCUCUAAAGCCAAUCGUAGUCCGGAUUGGAGUCCUGCAACUCGACUCCAUGAAGCUGGAAUCGCUAGUAAUCGUGGAUCAGAACGCCGCGGUGAAUACGUUCUCGGGCCUUGUACACACCGCCCGUCACACCAUGGGAGUGGGUUUGCACCAGAAAGUAGUUAGGCUAACCGUAAGGAGGCCGAUUACCACGGUGUGAUUCAUGACUGGGGUG
rnacentral:rRNA from 1 species